rnacentral:rRNA from 1 species
AGUAACGAAGUGUGUGAGCCAGCUGCCGAGAAAAGCCGCUAUUGUGUAAUAUAAGCCCGUACCGUAAACCGACACAGGUGGAUGAGGAGAGAAUCCUAAGGCCGACGGAAGAAGCAUUGUUAAGGAAUUCGGCAAAAUGACCCCGUAACUUCGGGAGAAGGGGUGCCUACGAAUGUAGGCCGCAGAGAAUAGGCUCAAGCAACUGUUUAGCAAAAACACAGGUCUAUGCGAAACCGUAAGGUGAAGUAUAUGGGCUGACGCCUGCCCGGUGCUGGAAGGUUAAGAGGAGAGGUUAGCGUAAGCGAAGCUUUGAAUUCAAGCCCCAGUAAACGGCGGCCGUAACUAUAACGGUCCUAAGGUAGCGAAAUUCCUUGUCGGGUAAGUUCCGACCCGCACGAAAGGCGUAAUGAUUUGAGCACUGUCUCGACAAUGCAUCCGGUGAAAUUGAAGUACCAGUGAAGAUGCUGGUUACCCGCGCCAGGACGGAAAGACCCCAUGGAGCUUUACUCCAGUUUGGUACUGGGAUUCGGUACUGCAUGUACAGGAUAGGUGGGAGACUAAGAGAUAGGAACGCCAGUUUCUAUGGAGUCACUGUUGGGAUACCACCCUUGUAGUACUGGGUUUCUAACCUGCAGCCGUUAUCCGGCUGGGGGACAAUGCCAGGCGGGGAGUUUGACUGGGGCGGUCGCCUCCGAAAGGGUAUCGGAGGCGCUCAAAGGUUCCCUCAGAAUGGUUGGAAACCAUUUGAAGAGUGCAAAGGCAGAAGGGAGCUUGACUGCGACACCGACGGGUGGAGCAGGUACGAAAGUAGGACUUAGUGAUCCGGUGGUAUAAAGUGGGAUUGCCAUCGCUCAACGGAUAAAAGCUACCCUGGGGAUAACAGGCUUAUCACUCCCAAGAGUUCACAUCGACGGAGUGGUUUGGCACCUCGAUGUCGGCUCAUCGCAUCCUGGGGCUGUAGCAGGUCCCAAGGGUUGGGCUGUUCGCCCAUUAAAGCGGUACGCGAGCUGGGUUCAGAACGUCGUGAGACAGUUCGGUCCCUAUCCGGCGCGGGCGGAGGAUAUUUGAGAGGAGCUACCCCUAGUACGAGAGGACCGGGGCGGACGGACCACUGGUGUACCAGCUGUCUACCAAAGGCAUAGCUGGGUAGCCAAGUCCGGAAGGGAUAAACGCUGAAGGCAUCUAAGCGUGAAGCCCCCCUCAAGAUGAGAUAUCCCGUCCUUUAAGGACAUAAGAUCCCUUAUAGAGUAUGAGGUAGAUAGGGCAAAGGUGGAAGCGUAGUAAUACGUGUAGCUGAUUGUUACUAAUCGAUCGAAGGCUUGACCA